GUCACAGCCAGCGGUGCCACCAGCAGGGGUGUCAAUACAGGGCCGCCCUCGGCCGCAGCCAAUCUCGGGAACCCCUCCACCAGAAAUGGAACGGUGUGACAGCAAGACCAUACAGCAGACUUGCUCCCUUUUUGGCCUAGAUUUGGAGAGACCACCUCCUGUGCCACCCAGCCGUUCCAUACACCGUGAGUGGCAACACCAAGCUGGGCUACCCCCAGACCCGAGUGAUGAAGAUGAACUACCCCGAAGAGUCUACGGGUGAAGUCAAACUGCCUAAAAGUGAAACCGUGGUAGUUGUGGGCGCCUCGCCACGGCGUGGUCACCUGCUCGUUGAAUACAAGGGGCAGACGUACCAUGUGCCAUACCAGUUCCUCGAGCUCAAGCCAUCACAUCCUAGCAAUCCAGGCAGCACUCCUCCUGCAUCCGGAGUCAACAUAUGAAUUUUCAUCAGGAGAACUGCGUAGAGCUGCGCUGCUCCCUUUGAUUAAGCGCAGUGCAGACUGUCGUGCCGUAACAUUCUGGUCUCAGCAGCGGAACCGUACUUGGCUCGUAACUUGCUCGCCUGCCAGCCAAACUUCAGGUUGAUACUUGUAAACCGCGUUACUAUUCAAGAUUAUGAGCUGGAUAACUGUAAGAGACUCUUUCGGUACUGGUGCCUCCACACUGAUUCCAAGUGUAGAGCAUGUAUUGCGGGUGAUGUUUCUAUCAGCCGCGAAGUUGCAGUUAUGCGGUGUUUUAUAGCAGGUGGUGAUCCUGUGCCCUUUUGGACGAGCAGGUUUGAGUACCUUCGAGGCCCAUUAGCAUCAAGGCUAGUUACGCGCGCAGUUACGCUUGGACAUCCGCCUAAAAGUGUCAAUAUUCAUCAAAGCCCCUCGCUUCCGCCAAGUUCUGCCUCAUCACACUGUUGGCGACAAGGUCGCAGUGAACAAACUGUUCAGAGCCACUUUUAUUGACGUAUAUGGGAGUGGUUGCCUUAUGAGCGUCACUGUUACGCACUCAACCCUGCGCGUCAUCAUCACCAUCAUUAUUACUCUGAUUUAUGUGAAUUCCAGGGCGAGGACCUCUCCCAGUGAUCUCCGAUUUACCGUAUCUUGUGUGAGCCGAUUCCAUUUUAUGCCUGCAAAUUUCGUGACUUCUUCACCCCACCUACCUCGCUGUCGUUCUCGCCUGAGCCCCAUCCUUCGGUGUCCAUUCUGUCAUGAACUUACGUGACCUGCCUAGGUCCACUUUUUCUUAAUGUCAGGUAGAAUGUCGCCUACCCCUCUUUGUUCUGCAAUCUAUUCCGCUCUCUUCCUGGCAUUUUUCUCUCAUUGCACGUUGCGUGGUUCUUAACUUCUUCUCGAAUUAAUAGUCAUCAUUCACGUAGUCAUGUUGAGACCAACUUUAGAACUUUCUCAGUUUAGGUCUUCGGUCAUUUUUCUAAUACGUUGUCAUAAUUGGUGAACAGCUAUAGGUAAUCUACAAAUCUUAGGUUGCCUACAUAUUCUGCGUUAGUAUUUAUUCCUGAUUCUGCCCAGUACGGGUGUUUCAACACUUCUAAGCAUGCAAUGAACAAAGUUGAAGAGAUCGUAUCUUUAUCACUAUUCUCUUGCUUUUCUGGUGGCUGUAGAGGCUUUCUAGAUGUAGGCUAGAGUAUUUAUAUGUUUCAAGUACUCCUUGGUCACUUCUGGAAUCGCUUCAGAGCCUUUUUGUAGUCUAUGGAAGCUCAAUAUAGGGCUUGGUUGUGUUUAGCAGAUUUCUGAAUUUUCUUAUUGACCGCAUGGCUUUUAUCUAUCGGGGAGUAUCCUUUCCUGAAACCGGCUUGUUCUCUGGGUUUGUUAAGGUCAUGUGCUCCGGUUAUCCCGUGUAAAGUUAUCUUCGUAAAUAUUAGGUACAAUACUGAAAUUAAGCUCAUGGGCCUAUGAUUCUUCAAGUCUUUUAAGCCUCCCUAUGAUUAUAACGCUGGCUUUUUUUUUCAGCUCAGUGGCGCAUUUGAGGUUUUCAGACAUUGACCGAGGGUGUCACAAGUUUUUUAAAUAUAAAGUAACCCCAUCUUUUACUAAAUCGACUGUAUGCUGUCUUCUGCGGCAGCUUUGCGUGGGGCAUGUCGCGUGGGGCCUCCUAACCUCAUCGGCAGUUAGCUUGAUAUAGUUUAGCUUCGCCGAAAAGUUGCGCAGUUAAAAAAGAGUCUAGCUUUACUUGAUAGGGUCUUCGCAUUGAGCGUUUGCAGGUUCAGCUUCCAGUGACGGCCUGUUCAAAUCCAGACAUUAUUAUCACCCUCCGCUGCUUUUGAAGUCUUCAGCGGCUGCUGGAGUCUGGAGGCCGGGGUUUAAU
rnacentral:lncRNA from 1 species